rnacentral:tRNA from 1 species
GGCGAGGUAGCAAAGAGGUCAUGCAGCGGCCUGCAAAGCCGUCCAGACAGGUUCGAUUCCUGUCCUCGCCUCCA